rnacentral:rRNA from 1 species
AGGGUUUGAUUCUGGCUCAGGACGAACGCUGGCGGCGUGCUUAACACAUGCAAGUCGAACGAGAAUCACUGGAAGGAGUUUUCGGACAACGGAAGGUGAGGACAGUGGCGGACGGGUGAGUAACGCGUGAGGAACCUGCCUUUCAGAGGGGGACAACAGUUGGAAACGACUGCUAAUACCGCAUGACACAUAGAGAUCGCAUGGUUUUUAUGUCAAAGAUUUAUCGCUGAAAGAUGGCCUCGCGUCUGAUUAGCUAGUUGGUGAGGUAACGGCCCACCAAGGCGACGAUCAGUAGCCGGACUGAGAGGUUGACCGGCCACAUUGGGACUGAGAUACGGCCCAG